AACGAACGCUGGCGGCAUGCCUAACACAUGCAAGUCGAGCGCCCGUAGCAAUACGGGAGCGGCGCACGGGUGAGUAGCGCGUGGGAACCUGCCCAGAGGUUCGGGACAACCGCGGGAAACUGCGGCUGAUACCGGAUGAUGCCUGAGGGCCAAAGAUUUAUCGCCUUUGGAGGGGCCCGCGUCGGAUUAGGUAGUUGGUGAGGUAACGGCUCACCAAGCCUGUGAUCCGUAGCUGGUCUGAGAGGAUGAUCAGCCACACUGGGACUGAGACACGGCCCAGACUCCUACGGGAGGCAGCAGUGGGGAGUAUUGGACAAUGGGGGCAACCCUGAUCCAGCGAUGCCGCGUGGGUGAUGAAGGCCUUCGGUU
rnacentral:rRNA from 1 species